rnacentral:rRNA from 1 species
AUGUCUCUGACUGACGAGGAUUUUCUGUGGUGUGUUUCACGUGUGUGCCUCCGUGCACAAAACCACGCCACGGGUUAUAUAUACAUUCACUACACGGUCUCUGCUCUUCUCGUUCCCCUCGGACGGGUGCUGCGCUUUGAUUUCAUCGCCCUCCCAAGAAUGGACGGCGCGAUUGGGUGGCUGGCGGGCAGCAUCCUGGACACCCUCUCCGCCGCGCAGCUGCAGGCGUGGAUCCGCCGGGCGGGGCUCGCCCAUGACAUCCAGAUGCUCGAGGCGGAGGUCGAGAUGGUGGACAUCGGAUACGCCGCCGUGGGCGUGAGGGCCGGGGACAGGCCGCUGCUGGCCCGCUCCCUCGCCCGCCUCCAGGAUCUGCUCCACCAAGCCGACGACCUCGUCGACGAGCUGGACUUCCACCGCCUCCUCCACACUUUCACCUCGCCGCCUGCUACGGCUUCUUCUCCAGGGAAAGUAGUCGGGUGCAAUGACACGCCCAUACAAUCUACGCUCGCCGACCUCUUCAUCCACUCCCCUUGUACAGAUUCAUCCUCAGAUGAUGCUUUGGGCGAUCAGGAAGACGUAUUUGGGGGUGUGCAACUCCAUGAAAAAUACAGGGGAGAUAUGGAUAUGGUGACUAGCCAGGUUGCCAAUAAGAGGCAGUCGUUUUCGAUAUGGGAGCAUUACGAGCUCGUGGACCAAGAUGGAAACGAUUGUCGGGUCAAAUGUGUUCGCUGCGGCUCGGAGCUGAUGGUUAGGCACGGAUUGAGCCCAUCGCAUUUGAGGCGCCAUGUCAGGAGUGCAUCUUGUGAGAACAAAAGCGAAGCAACUCAAUUUUUGAACCGCACACAUAGUGCUCGGAGAGAGCAGGAAGACAUAUUUGGGGCAGUGCUAGUCAAUAAGAAAUCAAGGGGAGAUAUAUAUGCACAGAGUAGGCAGGGUGGCAAGACACGGUCACCGGUAUGGGAGCACUUUGUCAUCUCGGAAGCUGAUGAGAACAGCAGGCCUGUGAAAGCCAAGUGUGUUCACUGUGGCUCGGAGCUCAACUGUGGACCCAAACAUGGGACAUCAGGUUUGAAACGCCAUAUUGAUAGUGCAGCUUGUACCAAGAAAAAACAUGCAGCCGACAAGCCGCUAAACACUUCAAGCAGCGCUGACAGUAUAGAAAAUGUUGAAACUGUUGUGAUUCCUGGUUCACACAGCAGAAAAAGGAGUAGAAUGGAUGCGGAGUCAACAUGCGGGACCAAGCCUAAAACACACCUUUGGAACAAGGCUGAAUCUUUGCAUAGGAUACAAGAAAUAACUCGCCUGUUACAAGACAUAUCAGGGGUUCUGAGUAAGGUUCUCAAGUUAUAUGGAUCAGAUUUUGUUGCAAGCUCAAAUCACUAUCGAAGUACAAUAUCAGAUCAACACCUACAAACAUCAAGUGUUAUUGCAAGGAAAGUCUAUGGAAGAGUUACAGAGAAGGACUACAUCAUAAAGUUCAUGACACAAGACAAACCCGAUGGUUCAUUUGUUCUUCCUAUUGUAGGCAGUGCAGGAGUUGGGAAGACUGCUCUUGCUCAGCUUGUAUACAAUGACCCAAUCGUGGCAGAGCACUUUGACCAAAGGAUAUGGGUUUCGGUGUCUAACAACUUCGAUGAACUAAGACUCUCUAGAGAGAUCUUAGAUUUUGUCUCUCAGAAGCAAACACAUGAAGGAAUAUGCAGCUUUGCCAAGCUUCAGGAGGUCUUGAAGAUGCAUAUCACAUCAAAGAGGGUUCUGCUUAUUUUUGAUGAUGUUUGGGAUGACUCUAACUUCCGCAGAUGGAGCCAACUAUUGGCUCCUUUGCAGUGUGGCACAAAGGGUGCUGUGAUUCUUUUGACAACUCAAAAAUUGUCUGUUGCACAAACUGUUGGUACAGUUGAACCAAUUAAGUUACGUAGUUUAGCAUAUGACGAUUUUUGGUUAUUAUUUAAAUCAUGUGCAUUUGGUGAUGAGAAGUAUGAAAGGAAUCAAAAUCUUAGCAUCAUUGGAUUGCAAAUAGUAGAGAAGUUAAAGGGAAACCCAUUAGCAGUAGCAACAGUAGGGGAACUAUUACGAAGGAGCCUUACUAUUGAUCAUUGGAAUAACAUUCUGAAGAAUGAAGAUUGGAAAUCUCUGCAACUCAGUGGAGGUAUAAUGUCUGCUCUGAAGCUUAGCUAUGAUCAGCUCCCCUACAAUUUACAACAAUGCUUCUUAUGUUGUGCUUUAUUCCCCGAGAAAUAUCAGUUCCUCGAUGAGGAGCUGGCCCGAAUUUGGAUUUCCCAGGGAUUUGUGAAGUGUGAUAAUUCAAGUAAGACACUUGAGGAGAAAGGAUUGGACUAUCUGGCUGAUCUUGUGAACUUGGGCUUCUUUCAGCAAGUCGAAAGAGAAGAGACCGAUCAAACUUGCUACAUUAUGCAUGAUCUUAUGCAUGAUCUUGCUAGGGUAGUCUCAAGAACUGAGUUUGCAACUAUAGAUGGCCUGCAGUACUGUGAGAUCCUGCCAACUAUACGCCAUUUAUCAAUAGUAAGUGAUUCUGGAUACAACGCAGAUCAGCAUGGAGACAAACCUCGCAAUAAGAAGUUUGAGAAGAAAAUGCUUGCUGGAUGUACAUCGCUGAGGAAAUUGAGGACAUUGGUAUUCAUUGGGCAGUAUGACAUGUUCUUCAAAUCCUUUCAGGAUAUAUUCCGGGAGGCACAUAAUUUGCGCCUGCUACAAAUUUCUGCAGCAUCUGAUGGUUUAAAUCCUUUACUGUGCAGUUCUGUGAAUUUGAAACAUCUUCGCUACUUGGACAUCAAAGCUGCUGAUGGGCUUGGUGCUUUGCCUCAAAUUUUGAGCAAGUUUUGCCAUCUUCAAGUAUUACAUGUUGGCUCAUACACCAAUCCUACUAUGCCUGUCAGCAUUGACCAUGUUUUUAGGUUGCGGCAUCUUGUUAUAGAAGAGGGGGCAUACUCUUCCAUUGCUAACAUUGGUAACCUGACAUCUCUUCAGGAGCUACCCAAUUUUGUGGUUCAGAAUUCAAGCGGCUUUGAGAUAACACAACUCCAGUCCAUGAAAGAGCUUGUACGACUUGGGGUGUCUCAACUUGAAAAUGUUAAAACUCGGGAGGAGGCUUAUGGGGCAGGAUUAAGAGAGAAGCAACACUUGAAAGUGUUGCACUUGUCCUGGGGAGUUGCCUCGUCAGAUGGUGAAUAUGGUAGGGACAUGAACUCUGUUACAGAUUGGUUGUCGGAGGAUGUUAUCGAGGGCCUUAAACCACAGAAUAACCUAAAGCAUCUGCGGAUAUCUGGGUACAAUGGGCAUCUCUCCCCAAUUUGGCUUGCCUCGGUUACCUCUUUGCAAACGCUUCAUAUAGAGGGUUGUGGAAAAUUGGAAAUGCUUACAUCUAUUGAACAGCUUCCUUUUCUUAGAAAGCUGAAGUUGAUGAAACUGCCAAGUAUGACAGAAAUGUCAAUUCCUUCAUUGGUGGAACUGGUAUUAAUUCAAAUGCCGAAGUUGGAGCGGUUUUCCUGCAUUUCCACUAGGGACUUGAGCUCUGAUUUAAGGGUUCUGAAGAUUAAGAAGUGUCCUGCAGUGAAGAUCUUUCCUCUAUUUGAGAGCUCGCUGAAAUUUAAAAUCGAGCAGAAGUCAUGGUUGCCCAGUCUGAGGGAACUCGUUAUCCAUGGAUGUCCUAAUUUACUUGUGCCACAUGCCAUUCCUCUAUCACCUACAAUUUCCAAACUAUCCGUCGUUGACGUUCCAACACUCCCAAGGAUAGAGGGAUCUUCUGGUGACACAUUAACAGUUGGAUCCAGAAGUGAGGGCUAUGAUAAUUUUGAUCCUUCUUCUGAUGUGAUGACUACACUGGAUUGCAAAAUUUUGGCAUUCCACAACCUGAGGGGCCUCAGAUACUUGCGUAUAGAUGGUUGCCAAAAUCUAGUGUCUAUUGCAUUCACAGGAUUAGGGGAACUUAUUUCUUUAAGGAGUUUGGAAAUAUGUAGCUGUCGAAAACUUUUCUCGUCAAAUGUUAUACCAGAGCAUACCCGUUCAGAUGAGACAGCUGCAAGUUGCAAGCCCCUCCCAUCUCUCGUCACUCUCAGAAUUAAGUGUUGUGGAAUAGCAGGAAAGUGGCUAUCUUCGAUGCUGGGAUAUGUGCCGGCCCUGGUGGAAUUAUUUUUAGAGGACUGCCCUGGGAUAACACAGUUAACGAUAGAAGGAGAAGAAGAAGAAAACAUUCAACCUUAUGGUACCUCAGUUCCAGUGGAUUCAUCAUCAGGAGGUCCAGAUGACACAUUGCUGACAAGCUCAGCCCAAGAUGGACUCUUGUGCCUUCCACUAAAUCUCAUGUCCUCUCUCAAGAAGAUAUCGAUUCGGGAGUGCCCCCAUCUAGUAUUUCACAGGAAUAACAAAGACUUGUCUGGAUUUACCUGCCUUGAGAAGCUAACAAUUUGGGGAUGCCCCGGGCUGCUCUCAUCUUUGGUGGAUAAAGAUGGAAAUGAUGAUCAGAGGAACGGAAGAUGGCUCCUACCGAAAUCACUUGUAGAACUCGAGAUCCGUGGUGAUUCACCGGAAAUGCUGCAGCCCUGUUUUGCAGGGAAUGUAACCAACCUCAAAAAUAUAGAAGUGUGGUUCAGCCCAAGUCUGAGAUCUCUACAGCUGCAUACCUGCACAUCACUGGAAGAGUUGAUAAUUGGAAACUGUGGAUCACUUGCCGCACCAGAGAGCUUGCAGUUCCUUGGCAGCCUUAAGUAUUUGAAAGUAUUCAGAUCCCCUGGUGUGCUUCCAUGUUUGGAGAAUUUGUCAAAGCAGGGCUAUGCUUUAUUCCCUGGACUAAAAAGGCUUGUGACCGAUGGCCCCUCUGUCUUUACCAUGUCAGUCUGCAAGCAACUCAACUCCCUCCAACGCCUAGAACUUGAAAACUGGGAGUUUGUAACGAGACUAACAGAGGGGCAGGAGAGAGGGCUUCAGCUUCUGACAUCAUUGGAAGAGCUGGAAUUCCGGGGUUGCAGUUCCGAUCUCAAAUAUCUUCCUGCGGGGUUGCACAGCCUUCCUUCGCUCAAGAGGUUGAAGGUCAAUGGUUGUUUAGGAAUCUCAAGGCUGCCGGAAAAGGGCCUCCCAUCCUCGCUGCAAGAACUGGAUAUCAGCAAUUGCAGCAAGGUGUUUAAUGAUCACUGCAAGUCUCUAGCAACAGGGAAGCUAAAGGUCAAAAUUGUUGGAAAUACACAAACUGCUUAA